CCUACGGGAGGCAGCAGUGGGGAAUAUUGGACAAUGGGCGCAAGCCUGAUCCAGCAAUGCCGCGUGAGUGAUGAAGGCCUUAGGGUCGUAAAGCUCUUUUACCAGGGAUGAUAAUGACAGUACCUGGAGAAUAAGCUCCGGCUAACUCCGUGCCAGCAGCCGCGGUAAUACGGAGGGAGCUAGCGUUGUUCGGAAUUACUGGGCGUAAAGCGUACGUAGGCGGUUAUUCAAGUCAGAGGUGAAAGCCCGGAGCUCAACCCCGGAACGGCCUUUGAAACUAGGUAGCUAGAAUCUUGGAGAGGUCAGUGGAAUUCCGAGUGUAGAGGUGAAAUUCGUAGAUAUUCGGAAGAACACCAGUGGCGAAGGCGACUGACUGGACAAGUAUUGACGCUGAGGUACGAAAGCGUGGGGAGCAAACAGGAUUAGAUACCCUGGUAGUCCACGCCGUAAACGAUGAUAACUAGCUGUUCGGGACACUUGGUGCUUGAGUGGCGCAGCUAACGCAUUAAGUUAUCCGCCUGGGGAGUACGGUGCAAAGAUUAAAACCUUAAAGAUAAGUAACGGACGUGUUGAGUAGNGACGACGACGACGAGGAGGAGGAG
rnacentral:rRNA from 1 species